CUUUUUAAUAGCUCUCUGUAUUCUUCUAUGUAAAGUUGUUUGUUUAGUCUUUCACAAUCUCAAAUUCUGUUACCUUCUUUAGCUUUCCUUUUUUAUAAUCCUUUUCCUUUGGUGGUGAUAGGGAGUAGGGAAUGCAUAUUGGUAGAUGGCAUGCCCAUUCUUUUUAUUUUGCUCAAACUAACAAAUCUCUGAGGUAUGAAUAAAUAACAUUUUGGUUCUUAUGGUAACUGAAAAAUUAUUGUCCACCCUCGUCACAGUUGAAUGAAUGAGCAUUUCUUUUUCAAUUCACUCUUGUUUUUCUACUGAGUCAGACUGGAGUGUGUGAUGGGAGAUGUAAAUAGCUGCGGUGGCAUAUGGUCAUUUUAAAAAAAUAUUUGCUGGUUAAUGUUUUGUAAGAUUACUUUUUCUUAUCUUGUUAUAAGAGUAUAAUAUAUCUUCUUAUAAUAUAUCUUCUAAUUCCAACGUGGUCCAGGAGCCUCUUUCCCUGCCAUGGAUCAUCAGGCACAUGGGUUCUUCCCUUAUUUGUCCAUUGCACUUCUGGGUAGAUUUGUCCUCCUAGGAGCUACUCAUCUACUCUCCAGCGUGACUUCUGGGUUCUGCAGGACAUGACAUUUAUCCCCUCCAGAAAAUGCAACAAGGUGCAUCUUGGAAGCAGAGUGCAGCACUCACCGGACAGGAAAUCUGCUGAUGCCUUCAUCUUGGACUUCCCAGUCUCCAGAACUAUAAAGAAUGCAUUUCUUUUCUUAUAAAUUACCCAGUCUAUGAUAUUCCAUUAUAGUAGCACAAACGGACUAGGACAACACAUAAAUAACUCAAGCCAAUUUCUCACUUACAUUUGUUAAAAUAGUAAUGUACAAAUCCCGGAAACAGUCAACAACAAAAUCCCAUUUCACAACUCCCUCAUCCCUAAUACACAAUUUCUAACCUAUUCUGAAAUUGAGAAGUCUUAUACUUUGCAAAUGGCAUGGCAACUUUAUGUCCAUUUAAAAUUGUCUAAAUAUUUAGUACAUUUCUAGAGUCUAGAGCACACAGCUCAGGGCCCUGGUAACAUGCAGGCAAUCAGACUAUAAAUUUAUUUCUCUUCUUGAACAUCCUGCCCUGUUCAUCUUCAGUAAUCAAAUGGGCUUCAAUUUGUUCUUUACUAUGCUUUCACCUCUUCAUGCUCACUUCCAAGUCAACUCUACUCCUUCUCUAUUUUGCCCAAUACACUUUCUAGUUACAUAAUCAGAUGACUCUAGAAAAGCUGCCCAAGGCUGACCAUUCUCUAUGUGAAUUUUCCAACUACAUUGAAAGACCAAACUCAGUAUCCCCAACAUUGUCCUAACUUAAAGGUAUACUUGUAGUGGCACCAUAUAAACCAGGCAAACUAUUUAAAAAUGUAUCUGGAAGUAUUUGGCAUUUCCUGGUUAUAAUUUAAAGGAUGUAAUUUUGGCAUAGGAUUUCUGAAUAAUUGUUAUUAGACAGAGUUAUUUGUAUUUUCCACUACCAUUUUUAGAAAGGGAAUUUCACUUUGGAUAGCGGGUUAGUGUGUGUGUGUGUAUGUGCCCAUGUGCAGGUGAGGAGGGAACAAACUACUUGAUUCUUCCAUAAGUUAUUAAGUGACCCUUUUUUGGGCCUGAUUGUCAAAUGAAAUUUUCUGCACAAUACUUGGAAAGCAUUUGCAGGUUUCUGCGUGAGGUGAAGAAAAAAGAACAUGAAAAUAUUGUGGAUUCAUGAGCUACAAGAAGAAUCAUGAAACUUUUGAAAAGUUAUCAGCCUCAUAGCUUGAGUGUGAAUGAAUUAGUUUUCACAGAAAUCAAUGAAUGGGCUGGAUUUUACAGCCAAGACAUAAUGGAGACAAAAAAGAGCAGGCAGUGAUUUACAGAAAUUUUGAAUCCUUCUUCUGGAGUGCUAUACAUUCAUAAGAUUAUGAUUUGGAUUAAGUUUAAUCUGAUACCUAAAUGUCCAAGCGCAUAGUUUACAUUUGAUUUAUACAGUAGUACAGUAAUGUUAACAAAACUGAAUUUUUGUAACAAAUUAUAUAUACUUGAGAUAGAGAAAAAACUGUUGACUCCUUUUAUCAUUAAGUUAAAAAAAUAAUAUGGCAGCAUAUCACUUGUAUGAACUUCUGAAUGAAGACAAUAUCUUGAUGUACAAAUUCUGUUUUUCAACCAAAGGAUCAUACUUAAGCAUAUUUAAAUAUGAUGCUCAGUAAAAAGAUCUUACAACAUUAUAAUUUGUAAUGUUUGAAAUGGACAUGAAAGUAGAAUGCAACAUUUGUAUCUACAUGAGUAACUAUCAUUUAUCUAUCUAAAAUUUAUUAAACAUUUGCGAAUGAGAGCAUGACAUUGGAGUCACACUGCUUUGGGUUUGAAAUCUGGAUCCCAUAUGUGUCAGGUAAAAACCUUGAAAAAGUUACUUAACCUGUCUGUUUAUCAGUUUCUUUAUAAGACACAGAUCAUAAUAAUAUGUACAUCAGAGGAUCAUGGUGAUUAUAAAAUAAAUUAACAUAAAUGAGUUAAUAAGGCCUAGGAUUUUAGAAGUGUAGUAUAAACAAAGUACCUAGUAUGCUACUUACAGUGAUUAUCAUUAUCUCUUAUAACUUUAAGUUAAAUUGGCCUUCUUGGUAAAUUUCAAACACAAUUAUAUCUGGGUCCACAUCAGGAAAUUUGAACAUACAGUUCAUCUGUUUGGAGCUCACUUCCCUCAUUUGUUUUCAUAGCUUCCUACCUCAGUGCAUUCAGGUUUCUUUUUCAAAACAUAUAAACAGAGAUGCCUUGUUAAACUACCCAAUCUAAAAUUGUCUUUUUUUAUUUAUUAUUUUUCUUCAUCUAUGUCACCAUUUGCUAUUGUUACUAAAUUUAUUUCUAGUUUACCGCCCACUAACAUAGAAGUUCCAUGAAAAGAGAGACGUGCCUAGUUGCCCCCAUUAUCUCAGUGUAAACAUUUUUUUUCCCUGAAACUGAAACAAUAAUCUUCCUUUUGUGGAGAUGCUGUUAAAGGGUACAUAGGGUAAUUCAUACUAAUAGGUUCUCUCAUUCUUGCAAACUGUUGUGGAAUAAUCAAUUUAAGGGCAACAACUGAGCUCUUCAUAAAUUGAGGAAAAUUGCCAUGCAUGAAGGUGUUUUUCCUAACCCCCACCUCUGAUUCUACAUAUUCUUUAAACAUAUCUCUCAAAAAUUUGGAGUUAACAUUGUAAAUAAUAUUUAUGUAUUUCUUUGGGUUUUGAAAUUUACUUAUGGAUCAUGUAGACCACUUAAAAAUAUUUUUAAAAAUCUUUAAAGCUAAAGUUGAACAUUUGUGACAACUAGGAAUAUUUGGAUACUUUGUGUUUCUCUCCCUCUUUUUAUGUCUCUCUAUCUCUCUCUGAUAAAAGUAUGUUUGUGGAUAAUUUAUUUUAAAACUAGACUUUUGGUUAUGCCAGAUUAAUAGUUCCAGAGAUCUCUUAUAAAGCACAUUUCUUGUAGUUAACAAUAUGGUGUUGUGCACUUCAAAAUUUGUUAAAUAAUAGAUUUCAUGUUAAGUAUUCUAAAAACACACACACAUACACACUCGGACACAAGGCAACUUUGGUUGAUAUUGAACACAUCCAUUACCUUGAUUGUGGUGAUGAUGGUAUUACGGGUGUUUGCAUAUGUCCAAACUCAUUAAAUUGUACACAUUGAACAUGUGAAGUUCUUUGCAUAUCAACUAUAUCUCAAUAAAGCUGUUAAAAUUAAAGCAAA
rnacentral:lncRNA from 1 species